UCGAACGAAGCAGAGGGGCGGAAUUUUUUCGGAGAGGAAGCCCCCCUGACUGAGUGGCGGACGGGUGAGUAACGCGUGGACAACCUACCCCGCACUGGGGGACAACAGCUGGAAACGGCUGCUAAUACCGCAUAUGCGCACGGCCCCGCAUGGGGCCGCGCGGAAAGCGCAUGCGGUGCGGGAUGGGUCCGCGUCUGAUUAGCUUGUUGGCGGGGUAACGGCCCACCAAGGCGACGAUCAGUAGCCGGCCUGAGAGGGUGGACGGCCACAUUGGGACUGAGACACGGCCCAGACUCCUACGGGAGGCAGCAGUGGGGGAUAUUGCACAAUGGGGGCAACCCUGAUGCACCGACGCCGCGUGAGCGAUGGAGUACUUCGGUAUGUAAAGCCUCUGUCAGCAGGGAAGAGAAUGACGGUACCUGCCCAAGAAGCCCCGGCUAAAUGCGUGCCAGCAGCCGCGGUAAUACGUAUGGGGCAAGCGUUAUCCGGAUUUACUGGGUGUAAAGGGAGCGUAGGCGGCAGGGCAAGCCUGAUGUGAAAGCCCGGGGCUCAACCCCGGGACUGCAUUGCGCCCUGCCCCGCUCGAGUGCCGGAGGGGCAGGCCGAAUUC
rnacentral:rRNA from 1 species